AUCUCAUAAACACACUGCCCGACACGUAUCAAUAGU
rnacentral:rRNA from 1 species